rnacentral:sRNA from 1 species
GGCUGUGAGGGCAAUCUGGCUGCAACACCUCACCUCCUCGAUCACCAGGGCUGAUUCACCUGACCUGGCCGGCUGGGCGGGCGUCCCCUUCCUCCCUCGCUGCCCUACGUGCGGCCUCCGCUCGGCCAAAGAGCCCGACGCCCCUACAGGGGAGGACCGUUCCUCGGUCAAGGACCUCCAAACAAGUACUCCACUAUUAAGCCUCGCCCCAGUGGUUUGGGCUUCAUUGUCCAAAUAGAAAAUGAAGAGUUAAAGGAGGAAGGGUUCAUUGGACGUCAUUCACACCUU